rnacentral:rRNA from 1 species
UACGUAGGGGGCAAGCGUUGUCCGGAAUCAUUGGGCGUAAAGAGCGCGUAGGCGGCCCUGUAAGUCCGCUGUGAAAGUCAAGGGCUCAACCCUUGGAUGCCGGUGGAUACUGCAGGGCUAGAGUCCGGAAGAGGCGAGUGGAAUUCCUGGUGUAGCGGUGAAAUGCGCAGAUAUCGGAAGGAACAUCAGUGGCGAAAGCGACUUCCUGGACCAGUACCGACGUUCAGGCACGAAAGCGUGGGGAGCAAACAGG